rnacentral:rRNA from 1 species
UUCAAUGGAGAGUUUGAUCCUGGCUCAGGACGAACGCUGGCGGCGUGCUUAACACAUGCAAGUCGAACGAUGAAGUUCCUUCGGGAAUG